UACGUAGGGUGCAAGCGUUGUCCGGAAUUAUUGGGCGUAAAGAGCUCGUAGGCGGUCUGUCGCGUCUGCUGUGAAAACUCAGGGCUUAACCCUGAGCUUGCAGUGGGUACGGGCAGACUAGAGUGCGGUAGGGGAGACUGGAAUUCCUGGUGUAGCGGUGAAAUGCGCAGAUAUCAGGAGGAACACCGGUGGCGAAGUCGGUUCUCUGGGCCGUAACUGACGCUGAGUAUCUAAAUCAUUGGGAGCUAACAGG
rnacentral:rRNA from 1 species